rnacentral:rRNA from 1 species
AAUGAACGUUGGCGGCGUGGAUUAGGCAUGCAAGUCGAACGAGAACCCCGCAAGGGGUGAAAGUGGCAAACGGCGUAGUAAGGCGUAGGUGACGUACCUCCCGAUUCAGGAUAGCUACGGGAAACUGUAGGUAAUACUGGAUGAUCCCUCCGAGAUUGAAAAUCGGAGUGCAAAGGUGUGAUUCCGUCGGGAGAGCGGCUUACGUGGUAUUAGCUAGUUGGUGAGGUAACGGCUCACCAAGGCUUCGAUGCCUAGGGGGUGUUAGCGCAUGACCCCCACGACUGGGACUGAGAUACUGCCCAGACACCUACGGGUGGCUGCAGUCGAGAAUCUUCGGCAAUGGGCGCAAGCCUGACCGAGCGACGCCGCGUGCGGGAUGAAGGCCCUUGGGUUGUAAACCGCUGUCAGAGGGGAUGAAGUGCAGGUGGGCUAUCCCACCUGUUUGACAUAGCCUCAGAGGAAGCACGGGCUAAGUUCGUGCCAGCAGCCGCGGUAAU